rnacentral:lncRNA from 1 species
AAGAGGUGAUCCGUUUUCCCUUGUUUAGCGUGUGUAGCUUCUUACUACAGGAGGUAAGUGAUGUUCUUGAAUAUGUUUUCUGAAGGUUUUAGGGGGAUUUGUGGAAGGAGAUGCAUGUUUAGGUUCUUAAUGAUAGUUUUGAUGAGUUAUGCAUGUAUACAUGUGUAUAUGUUAUGUUUGUUUUGUUGUUUGGGGUUAUUAGCUAGUUUUGGACCCCUGUGAUCAUAUACAUGAGUAUAUGUAUGUUGAGGAGGUGAAGUUUGCAUGGUUUGAGAAGUUGAAGGAAAGAAGGAGAUGGUUUGCCGUUGAAACUGAGUUCGGGAUGAACUCAGG